rnacentral:rRNA from 1 species
AACGAACGCUGGCGGCGUGGAUAAGACAUGCAAGUCGAACGGGACAGACCGAGUAGCAAUAUUUGGAAUGUUCAGUGGCGAACGGGUGCGUAACACGUGGAUAACAUUCCGGAAAGCGGGGAAUAGCCCAGGGAAACUUGGAUUAAUACCGCAUGUGGCCGCAAGGCUAAAGACGGGGACCGCAAGGCCUGUCACUUUCCGAUUGGUCCGCGGCCUAUCAUCUAGUUGGCGGGGUAAUGGCCCACCAAGGCUACGACGGGUAGCUGGUCUUAGAGUACGACCAGCCACGCUGGAAAUGAGACACGGUCCAGACACCUACGGGUGGCAGCAGUCGAGAAUCUUUCACAAUGGGGGCAACCCUGAGGGAGCGACGCCGCGUGGAGGAUAAGGUCUUCGGAUUGUAAACUCCUGUCAUGCGAGAACAAGGUACUCAGGCUAAUAACCUGAUUGUUUGAUGGUACCGCAAGAGGAAGAGACGGCUAACUCUGUGCCAGCCGCCGCAGUAAGAC